UCUGGCUGUGAUGAAGAGGACAGGGCUGUGAUGAAGAAGGCCUGGGCUGUGAGGAAGAGCCUCGCUGUGAUGAAGAGGUCUGGCUGUGACGAAGAUGCCUGGGCUGGGAUGAAGAGGACGAGGCUGUGAUGAAGAAGGUCUGGCUGUGAUGAAGAAGGCCUGGGCUGUGAUGAAGAAGGCCUGGACUGUGAGGAAGAGGCCUGGCUGUGUUGAAGAGACCUGGCUGUGAUGAAGAAGGCCUGGCUGUGAUGAAGAGGACGGGGCUGUGAUGAAGAAGGCCUGGGCUGUGAGGAAGAGGUCUGGCUGUGAUGAAGAGGUCUGGCUGUGAUGAAGAGGCCUGGCUGUGAUGAAGAGGUCUGGGCUGUGACACCUUCAGUCUGGCAAAGGGCACAGGCAGGAGCACCAGUGCGACUGAAGAGUUCCCAGUACGAAGCUUCAUAGAACUGUGUGUAAACAGGCAUCAUUCAAAAACACCAGGGGGAGACACCACGAUACGCGCAGCCGAGGCCUUUGACUUCGAAGAAGCAAACGAUCAUGUGCUUCGAUCGCUUAAAUGAAGAAUGCCAAACCGUGUAGGUCUCCAUCCACUCUGCGGCGUCGACUCGGACAUUAUGUUGUGCUUUAAGCAAGUGUCUAUUUGAAGAUACUUUGGUUCAUUUAAAAAAAGCCCAGCUGUCUCUGCCGUGUCCGUGGCAUGGCUUCUUACUGCUCAGGUCUACGGCCGUGCAGAAAUGCUUUGGUCUGUGCUUUCGGUCGCAUUUUUGGGUGGUAAUCGAUGUGGAAAUGAAUUAAAAUGGAAACAGGACAUGAGAGGAUGAUUUGCCUUGAAACCCCGCCUCCUCACACUCAGGGGCGUGGCCUCCAUCUGAGUCAGGGAGCCAAAAAAAUAAAAAAAUAAA